rnacentral:rRNA from 1 species
GACGAACGCUGGCGGCGUGCUUAACACAUGCAAGUCGAACGGAAAGGCCCUGCUUGCAGGGUGCUCGAGUGGCGAACGGGUGAGUAACACGUGGGUGAUCUGCCCCUUACUUUGGGAUAAGCCUGGGAAACUGGGUCUAAUACUGGAUAGGACCAUGCUGUAGGUGGUGUGGUGGAAAGAUUAGUUUCGGUAAGGGAUGAGCUCGCGGCCUAUCAGCUUGUUGGUGGGGUAAUGGCCUAACAAGGCGUCGACGGGUAGCCGGCCUGAGAGGGUGGACGGCCACAUUGGGACUGAGAUACGGCCCAGACUCCUACGGGAGGCAGCAGUGGGGAAUAUUGCACAAUGGGCGCAAGCCUGAUGCAGCGACGCCGCGUGGGGGAUGACGGCCUUCGGGUUGUAAACUCCUUUCAGCCAUGACGAAGCCCUUGUGGUGACGGUAGUGGUAGAAGAAGCACCGGCUAACUACGUG